rnacentral:rRNA from 1 species
UACGAAGGGGGCUAGCGUUGCUCGGAAUCACUGGGCGUAAAGCGCACGUAGGCGGCUUUCUAAGUCAGGGGUGAAAUCCUGGAGCUCAACUCCAGAACUGCCUUCGAUACUGGCGAUCUUGGAGUCCGGGAGAGGUGAGUGGAACUCCUAGUGUAGAGGUGAAAUUCGUAGAUAUUAGGAAGAACACCAGUGGCGAAGGCGGCUCACUGGCCCGGUACUGACGCUGAUAUGCGAAAGCGUGGGGAGCAAACAGG